CAUUUCGGGAGGUUGGGUGGCCGGCGCUGGGGAUGGGGUUGGUUGAGAAGCCGCGGGCGGAGAGGACCUGGCUGAAAAGCCACGGUUGGGCGCUGGGAAGUCCAGGUGGUCGCUCGCUUACCCACCUCGGCUCGGCGACAGCGAGCCGGGCACUCCUGCCUUUCCUCUGCACAGCGCCUAGCGAUCCGCUCGACUCGGCCCUGACAGGCGUAAUCUGCCCGGCGUCACCUCCAGCUGCUUCCUCGUUCUCGCUAGUUCCGUCUCGCACGCGAGUGCCAGGAGAAGAGAGAGAUUCGGAGAGGCGGCUGCACUGCUUCGGGGAGACGAGCGGCGGCUUUGCCUCAGUCCUUUUCCCCGGGGUUCCCCCAGAUCUGUGACCCUGCGAUGCUUCCUUGAGCGAAAGCGCGCUUUGAGUCGUGUCCUCGUUGGCUCUCUACCGAGCUGGGAUUUUUGUAACAGCAAAGGAGGCAGAAAUGAGGGGAGCCCUCUCAGACCAUGGAGGAAUUACAGUUU
rnacentral:antisense_RNA from 1 species